AUUGAACGCUGGCGGCAGGCCUAACACAUGCAAGUCGAGCGAGCGGCGGAGGGGGGUGUAUAAUGUGGGAAACAGUCUCAUGGCGGGGGAUAACUACAGGAGAAGGUAGCGCUUAUCCCGUACACUAUGAUGUGCCCCGAUGGGAUUGGCUAGUGGGGGGGGCAACGGCUCACCUAGGCGACGAUCUCUAGCUGGUCUGAGAGGAUGACCAGCCACACUGGAACUGAGACACGGUCCAGACUCCUACGGGAGGCAGCAGUGGGGAAUAUUGCACAAUGGGCGCAAGCCUGAUGCAGCCAUGCCGCGUGUGUGAAGAAGGCCUUCGGGUUGUAAAGCACUUUCAGCGGGGAGGCGUUACCCGCAGAAGAAGCACCGGCUAACUCCGUGCCAGCAGCCGCGGUAAUUC
rnacentral:rRNA from 1 species